GACAGAGGGUGCUAGCGUUGUUCGGAAUUACUGGGCGUAAAGGGCGCGUAGGCGGUCUGCUAAGUUCGGUGUGAAAUCCCCUGGCUCAACUGGGGAACUGCGCUGGAAACUGGCAGACUCGAGUACCGGAGAGGAGAGUGGAAUUCCUGGUGUAGCGGUGAAAUGCGUAGAUAUCAGGAGGAAGACCAGUGGCGAAGGCGGAUCUCUGGACAGUUCCUGACGCUGAGGCGCGAAGGCCAGGGGAGCAAACGGG
rnacentral:rRNA from 1 species